UUGAGUUUGAUCAUGGCUCAGAUUGAACGCUGGCGGCAGGCCUAACACAUGCAAGUCGAGCGGCAGCACGAGAAAGCUUGCUUUCUUGGUGGCGAGCGGCGGACGGGUGAGUAAUACAUGGGAAUCUGCCCGAUAGUGGGGGACAACGUUUCGAAAGGAACGCUAAUACCGCAUACGUCCUACGGGAGAAAGCAGGCUUAGGCUUGCGCUAUCGGAUGAGCCCAUGUCGGAUUAGCUUGUUGGUGAGGUAAUGGCUCACCAAGGCGACGAUCCGUAACUGGUCUGAGAGGAUGAUCAGUCACACCGGAACUGAGACACGGUCCGGACUCCUACGGGAGGCAGCAGUGGGGAAUAUUGGACAAUGGGGGCAACCCUGAUCCAGCCAUGCCGCGUGUGUGAAGAAGGCCUUCGGGUUGUAAAGCACUUUCAGCGAGGAGGAAAGCAGUAAGGUUAAUACCCUUAUUGUGUGACGUUACUCGCAGAAGAAGCACCGGCAAACUCCGUGCCAGCAGCCGCGUAUUCGAC
rnacentral:rRNA from 1 species